UACGUAGGGGGCAAGCGUUAUCCGGAUUUACUGGGUGUAAAGGGAGCGUAGACGGCGAUGCAAGCCUGAAGUGAAAGCCCGGGGCUCAACCCCGGGACUGCUUUGGGAACUGUAUGGCUGGAGUGCAGGAGGGGUAGGCGGAAUUCCUAGUGUAGCGGUGAAAUGCGUAGAUAUUAGGAGGAACACCGGUGGCGAAGGCGGCCUACUGGACUGUAACUGACGUUGAGGCUCGAAAGCGUGGGGAGCAAACAGG
rnacentral:rRNA from 1 species